rnacentral:rRNA from 1 species
CGGACAGGUGAGUAAUGUCUGGGAAACUGCCUGAUGGAGGGGGAUAACUACUGGAAACGGUAGCUAAUACCGCAUAAUGUCGCAAGACCAAAGAGGGGGACCUUCGGGCCUCUUGCCAUCGGAUGUGCCCAGAUGGGAUUAGCUAGUAGGUGGGGUAACGGCUCACCUAGGCGACGAUCCCUAGCUGGUCUGAGAGGAUGACCAGCCACACUGGAACUGAGACACGGCCCAAACUCCUACGGGAGGCAGCAUG